rnacentral:rRNA from 1 species
UACGGAGGGUGCAAGCGUUGUCCGGAAUCACUGGGCGUAAAGGGCGCGUAGGCGGCUCAUGAAGGCUGUGGUGAAAGUCCGGGGCUCAACCUCGGAUCGGCCGUGGCGACUCGUGGGCUGGAGCACUGUAGAGGCGGGUGGAAUUCCGGGUGUAGCGGUGGAAUGCGUAGAGAUCCGGAAGAACACCAGUGGCGAAGGCGGCCCGCUGGGCAGUGACUGACGCUGAGGCGCGACAGCGUGGGGAGCAAACAGG